GUCAUCGGUAGGGGAGCGUUCUAAGCGCGCCGAAGCGGGACCGGAAGGACUCGUGGAGCGCUUAGAAGUGAGAAUGCCGGUGUGAGUAGCGAAAACAGAGGUGAGAAUCCUCUGCACCGAAAGCCUAAGGUUUCCUGAGGAAGGUUCGUCCGCUCAGGGUUAGUCGGGACCUAAGCCGAGGCCGAAAGGCGUAGGUGAUGGGCAACAGGUUGAGAUUCCUGUACCACCUCCUCACCGUUUGAGCAAUGGGGGGACGCAGGAAGGUAGGGCGAGCAGGCUGCUGGAAUAGCCUGUCCAAGCGGUUAGGCUGCCAGAUAGGCAAAUCCGUCUGGCGCAAAGGCUGAGCCGUGAUGGCGAAGGGACCAUCGGUCCCGAAGUCCCCGAUCCUACACUGCCAAGAAAAGCCUCUAGCGAGGUGAGAGGUGCCCGUACCGCAAACCGACACAGGUAGGCGAGGAGAGAAUCCUAAGGUGCGCGGGAGAACUCUCGUUAAGGAACUCGGCAAAAUGACCCCGUAACUUCGGGAGAAGGGGUGCUCUCUUGGGUGAUGAGCCCGAGAGAGCCGCAGUGAAAAGGCCCAAGCGACUGUUUACCAAAAACACAGGUCUCUGCGAAGCCGAAAGGCGAAGUAUAGGGGCUGACACCUGCCCGGUGCUGGAAGGUUAAGGGGAGCGCUUAAGCCGCAAGGCUGAAGGUGCGAACCGAAGCCCCAGUAAACGGCGGCCGUAACUAUAACGGUCCUAAGGUAGCGAAAUUCCUUGUCGGGUAAGUUCCGACCCGCACGAAAGGUGUAACGACUUGGGCACUGUCUCAACGAGAGACCCGGUGAAAUCAUACUACCUGUGAAGAUGCAGGUUACCCGCGACAGGACGGAAAGACCCCGUGGAGCUUUACUGCAGCCUGAUAUGGAAUUUUGGUAUCGCUUGUACAGGAUAGGUGGGAGCCUGAGAAGCCGGAGCGCCAGCUUCGGUGGAGGCGCCGGUGGGAUACCACCCUGGCGGUAUUGAAAUUCUAACCCGCACCCCUUAUCGGGGUGGGAGACAGUGUCAGGUGGGCAGUUUGACUGGGGCGGUCGCCUCCCAAAAGGUAACGGAGGCGCCCAAAGGUUCCCUCAGAAUGGUUGGAAAUCAUUCGUAGAGUGCAAAGGCACAAGGGAGCUUGACUGCGAGACGGACAGGUCGAGCAGGGACGAAAGUCGGGCUUAGUGAUCCGGUGGUUCCGUAUGGAAGGGCCAUCGCUCAACGGAUAAAAGCUACCCCGGGGAUAACAGGCUGAUCUCCCCCAAGAGUCCACAUCGACGGGGAGGUUUGGCACCUCGAUGUCGGCUCAUCGCAUCCUGGGGCUGUAGUCGGUCCCAAGGGUUGGGCUGUUCGCCCAUUAAAGCGGUACGCGAGCUGGGUUCAGAACGUCGUGAGACAGUUCGGUCCCUAUCCGUCGCGGGCGCAGGAAAUUUGAGAGGAGCUGUCCUUAGUACGAGAGGACCGGGAUGGACGCACCGCUGGUGUACCAGUUGUCCCGCCAGGGGCACCGCUGGGUAGCUAUGUGCGGAAGGGAUAAGCGCUGAAAGCAUCUAAGCGUGAAGCCCCCCUCAAGAUGAGAUUUCCCAUCGCGUCAAGCGAGUAAGAUCCCUCGAAGAUGACGAGGUCGAUAGGUCCGAGGUGGAAGCGUGGCGACACGUGGAGCUGACGGAUACUAAUCGAUCGAGGACUUAACCAA
rnacentral:rRNA from 1 species